rnacentral:lncRNA from 10 species
UGGAACACUCAUUCAGCAUACAGAUUCUGAGCCCCUCCCUGAAGAUCUGAUUCACUAGGCUUGGUGUAAAGUCCUGGAACCCAUAGAUUUAACAGGAGCCCUCCACUGGCAUAUAUUAUGGGAAAUAGUUUGGGAAGUAGUGCUUUACAUGAUUUAUGUCAAGUAAUUAUUACAAUUGCUCUCUGAAGCCGCUACCAUGAUUAUCUCAAUUUUACAGAUGAAGAAACCAGCUCAGAGUAUAAGAUAUGGUAUACCUAAGUCAAAUAGUUAAUAAACAGGAGCGCUGCUGACUCUGGCACCCAGGACUGCUUGUCUUCAAAGCCAGGACUCCGACUACUGAAGGCCCAAGACUCUUGGCGGUCUGAAUCUGGGGUCCCAGCUGCCUUGCCAGGAUGGCAGAUAUCUCUCCACUAAUGCAGGUGUCUUAGAAGGAACAUACCAUGUGACCACUGGAAGAUCAAGAUCUAGAACAUUCCUGCUCCCUACAAGCCUCUUCGUGCUAUUUCCAGCCCCUUAGAGGAAACCACAACUCUGACAUUUCCAAGUUUUUUUUGUAGAUUCUACCUCCAGGUACCCAUCUUGAAUGAAAAGGAAAAAAAAAUUAAAUUCAUCUUCAUUCCAGGAAAAAAAAUUAACAGCUUGAUUUUUCCUUCCUGCCAUUAGAAAAGUAGAAUCAUUCAAUGUCAGUUCGGGAAGGGGCUUAGCACCUCUAGGUCAGGGAUGUCUUACCUUUUUGGGAAGUAGGACUUCUUCUCAACAUCAAGUUAUUCCAUGGACCCCGUGUG